AACCACUGAAAGGAGGUGAUCCAGUGUCUCAUUGUCUCCAACCGCGGUCGCAAGUCGUGACCUGGAGCCUGAAGAACGAGGUCUCCGCCUGAGGCGUUGAACGCCAAGGGUUUCUAAGUCACGUGCUGCGAAAGCGGCUACGACGAUGGAGGGCCGUCCCGAGCGAUCGGGGCGGCCC
rnacentral:sRNA from 1 species